rnacentral:lncRNA from 1 species
AAAAAAUGACUAGCAUAAACACAAACGAACGAUAGAAUCCUAGGUCUAAAUGGGUGAAAAAUAGUAAAAGAAAACAUCGUAACAUAAAGGGAUAAAAAGAUCAUGAAGAUAGAUGUGCGAAUACUAAUGAACCAGGAGAGAUUGAGAACGUUGAACUUCAUUGUUGGACGCCCUAGAUUCAUGUCACAUGUCUGGAGAUUUGAGAGGAAAACCUUGAACCAUGUCGGCCUGUUGAAAACAACUGUAUUUCGAGUGAAAAAUUGAAUACGACAAAACACAAAAAAAAAUCAGAUUUAGAUCUCAUAUAAUCUCUUUCUUUGAAAAUCGACAAACUUACCAACAAAUCGACAAUCUUUCAAAAAUUCAACAACCUCAUGUUGAUCUUGAUCUGAAAAUUUAUCAAUUAACCUCAUCUCAACAAUAUGAUAUCAUUCUCUAAAUCGCUCUCAUUUGAAAAUCUCCCUAGAAAAUCACUUUCAUCUUAAAAUCGCUCUCGUCUGAACAUGCAACUAGUUAUAUACCUUAAAAGGCAACUAGUUAUAUACUUGAACCUGAACCUAGUUAUAUACCUUAACAUGCAAUUAGUUAUAUACCUGAACCUGUCCCUAGUUAUAUACCUUAACAUGCUACUAGUUAUAUACAUGAACAUGCAAUUAAUUAUAUACCUGAACAUGCAACUAGAUAUAUACAUGAACGUAUAAUCAACUAGGUAUAGACAUGAACAUAUGCAACUGGGUAUAAACAUUAACAUGCAACUAGGUAUAAACAUUAACAUGCAACUAGUAAUAUACCUGAACAUGCAACUAGAUGUAUACAUGAACGUAUAUACAAUUCGAUAUAUAACUGAACACACAACUAGGUAUAGACAUGAACAUAUACAUCACAUUGAAUGUAUACUUCACAUUGAUAACAUCUGAUGAACCGUUCAUUGAGGAUGUAAGUGAAUUUCGCCGGAUUAUAGGAGCAUUAUAAUACAUCACAUUAACGCAUCCAAAUAUCCAUGUAGCGGUCAACCGACUUUUCAAUUCAUAAUGAUACCUCACCCGAUUCAUAGGUUGGCGAUGAAGAGGGUCUUUUGUUUUCUGUCGGGCACAUAGAAAUUCGAUAUUAUCAUAAGUGUGAGUAAUUUUUGGUAUUACAGCAUAUUGUGAUUCCGAUUGCACGGAGAUGCUCUAGAUCCGAAGAGUAGGAUAGGUUUUCUGGUAUAUGUGGGAGGUUCGCUAGUGUCAUAGAUGUCAAGGAAAGAAAGCUUGCUUUCCCAAUCAACUAUCGAAACUGAGUACAGAGCGGUGGUGAUGACCUUCUCAGAAUCCAGCUAUCCUACGGUCUCACAUCUGUCACACAAUUUACCUUCGAUUUCUACAAUAUCGGGUAAUGAUCUCGAGAAUAGCUAACAAUAGUCAAAUGGAAUUUUUAUCAUAAAACUCACUACAAGAAAACAGACUUGUAAGAAUAGAUUUCACGAUGGCUUAGGGACGGCCCUAUAUCGUUUUUGUCUGUUGUCAUCAAAUGUAAUUACGGUACUGACAUAAUUCUUAGUUUUAUUGUGAAAUUUAUAUACAUGCAUGCAUUAUGUUUUGUACUAUUCAUGAUGUAAAUUUUAAGCUUACAGGCUCACAGCUGUGUUUUCCUUCCCUCAUACUGUUCGACGAACUACUCACAUCAACCGACUAUGAUAAUCUAGUG